rnacentral:rRNA from 1 species
GACGAACGCUGGCGGCGUGCUUAACACAUGCAAGUCGAGCGGUAAGGCCCUUCGGGGUACACGAGCGGCGAACGGGUGAGUAACACGUGGGUGACCUGCCCUUAGCUCUGGGAUAAGCCCGGGAAACUGGGUCUAAUACCGGAUAUGACCAUUUGUUGCAUGACAGGUGGUGGAAAGUUUUUCGGCUAGGGAUGGGCCCGCGGCCUAUCAGCUUGUUGGUGGGGUGAUGGCCUACCAAGGCGACGACGGGUAGCCGGCCUGAGAGGGCGACCGGCCACACUGGGACUGAGACACGGCCCAGACUCCUACGGGAGGCAGCAGUGGGGAAUAUUGCGCAAUGGGCGGAAGCCUGACGCAGCGACGCCGCGUGGGGGAUGACGGCCUUCGGGUUGUAAACCUCUUUCGCCAGGGACGAAGAGAGAUUGACGGUACCUGGAUAAGAAGCACCGGCCAACUACGUGCCAGCCGCCGC